rnacentral:rRNA from 1 species
CCGCAAGGGCCGGCGGCUUAACACAUGCAAGUCGAGCGGGGGAAGGUAGCUUGCUACCGGACCUAGCGGCGGACGGGUGAGUAAUGCUUAGGAAUCUGCCUAUUAGUGGGGGACAACAUCUCGAAAGGGAUGCUAAUACCGCAUACGUCCUACGGGAGAAAGCAGGGGAUCUUCGGACCUUGCGCUAAUAGAUGAGCCUAAGUCGGAUUAGCUAGUUGGUGGGGUAAAGGCCUACCAAGGCGACGAUCUGUAGCGGGUCUGAGAGGAUGAUCCGCCACACUGGGACUGAGACACGGCCCAGACUCCUACGGGAGGCAGCAGUGGGGAAUAUUGGACAAUGGGGGGAACCCUGAUCCAGCCAUGCCGCGUGUGUGAAGAAGGCCUUAUGGUUGUAAAGCACUUUAAGCGAGGAGGAGGCUACUUUAGUUAAUACCUAGAGAUAGUGGACGUUACUCGCAGAAUAAGCACCGGCUAACUCUGUGCCAGCAGCCGCGGUAAUACAGAGGGUGCGAGCGUUAAUCGGAUUUACUGGGCGUAAAGCGUGCGUAGGCGGCUUAUUAAGUCGGAUGUGAAAUCCCCGAGCUUAACUUGGGAAUUGCAUUCGAUACUGGUGAGCUAGAGUAUGGGAGAGGAUGGUAGAAUUCCAGGUGUAGCGGUGAAAUGCGUAGAGAUCUGGAGGAAUACCGAUGGCGAAGGCAGCCAUCUGGCCUAAUACUGACGCUGAGGUACGAAAGCAUGGGGAGCAAACAGGAUUAGAUACCCUGGUAGUCCAUGCCGUAAACGAUGUCUACUAGCCGUUGGGGCCUUUGAGGCUUUAGUGGCGCAGCUAACGCGAUAAGUAGACCGCCUGGGGAGUACGGUCGCAAGACUAAAACUCAAAUGAAUUGACGGGGGCCCGCACAAGCGGUGGAACAUGUGGUUUAAUUCGAUGCAACGCGAAGAACCUUACCUGGCCUUGACAUACUAGAAACUUUCCAGAAAUGGAUUGGUGCCUUCGGGAAUCUAGAAACAGGUGCUGCAUGGCUGUCGUCAGCUCGGGUCGGGAAAUGUUGGGUUAAGUCCCGCAACGAAGCCAACCCUUUUUCUUUACUUGCCAGCAUUUCGGAUGGGAACUUUAAGGAACUGCCAGGGACAACUGGGGGAAGGGGGGGAAAAUUAAUUUAUCGGGCCCUUUGGGCCCGGGGCUACCCCCCGGUUAAAAGGGGGGGUAAAAAGGGGUUUUACCC